UACGCCCAUAUCACGUUGAAACACCGGUUCUCGUACGAUCGUUGAAGUAAGCAACGUCGAGCUUGGUCAGAUGUACCUAGAUGGGUGACUGCUCGUGAAUACUAGGUGCUGUAAG